GUUGGUGUAGUUCAGUGGUAGAGAAUAUGCUUAGCAUGCAUAAGGCCCUGGGUUCAACCUUCAGCACCAAAA
rnacentral:tRNA from 1 species